UAACACAUGCAAGUCGAACGAAGCACUUUUAUCGAUUUCUUCGGAAUGAAGUUUUAGUGACUGAGUGGCGGACGGGUGAGUAACGCGUGGGUAACCUGCCUCACACAGGGGGAUAACAGUUGGAAACGGCUGCUAAUACCGCAUAAGCGCACAGUACCGCAUGGUACAGUGUGAAAAACUCCGGUGGUGUGAGAUGGACCCGCGUCUGAUUAGCUAGUUGGCAGGGCAACGGCCUACCAAGGCGACGAUCAGUAGCCGACCUGAGAGGGUGACCGGCCACAUUGGGACUGAGACACGGCCCAAACUCCUACGGGAGGCAGCAGUGGGGAAUAUUGCACAAUGGGGGAAACCCUGAUGCAGCGACGCCGCGUGAGCGAAGAAGUAUUUCGGUAUGUAAAGCUCUAUCAGCAGGGAAGAAGAAAUGACGGUACCUGACUAAGAAGCACCGGCUAAAUACGUGCCAGCAGCCGCGGUAAUACGUAUGGUGCAAGCGUUAUCCGGAUUUACUGGGUGUAAAGGGAGCGCAGGCGGAAGGCUAAGUCUGAUGUGAAAGCCCGGGGCUCAACCCCGGUACUGCAUUGGAAACUGGUCAUCUAGAGUGUCGGAGGGGUAAGUGGAAUUCCUAGUGUAGCGGUGAAAUGCGUAGAUAUUAGGAGGAACACCAGUGGCGAAGGCGGCUUACUGGACGAU
rnacentral:rRNA from 1 species